CCUUAGCAUUCCCUGAUUUUGACAAGCUGUUUGAUUUGUCUGUACAUGAAAGGCAGGGAAUAGCUGUAGGGGUUUUAACCCAAAUGCUGAGGCCCUUAAAGAGAAUGGUAGCUUCUUUUUCUGAACAAUUGGACAUGGUGGCCAAGAGGAGCUGUGGCAGCCACGUGCCUCUUGAUAAAAGAAGCGAAACAAACAAACAAAAAAUCCCCUAGAAGUCAGCCUGUGCCUGUUUGGACCAUGUUUCCAGGGUUUUUUUUUUUUAACCUAGGAACUAUCCCAAAACAAAAGGUUACAAUCUCAGGCCAUGCUGACAGAUAGAUACUCCCAGAUACAGCUGCCACCCUACCCCCCAAUCAGGAAGUACUUGAUCAGAUUCACUCUGGCUACAAAGAUCUCCAGAGUGAACCUCUGUCCACUGCAGAGGAAAUCUGACUUCUAGACAGCAGCGGUGUUAUGGAUAAUGGACUAGGAAAGGCAAGAUAUGCUGUCGUCUUCCUAAAGGCUCUCAUGGAGGCCAAAAGACUGGCCACACGCACCUCAAACCAAAAGGCAGAAAUAAUUGCACCAACCAGAGCAUUAGAAUUGAGUGAAACAGGGGCGCCUGAGUGGCUCAGUUGGUUGAAUGUCCGACUUUUGACUUUGGCUCAGGUCACAAAUCUUAUGGUUUGUGAGUUCGAGCCUCUCAUCGGACUCUGUGCUGACAGUGCAGAGUCUGCUUGGGAUUCUCUCUCUCCCUCUUUCUCUGCCCCUCUCCCCCCGCUCAAAGUAAGUAAAUAAACUUUAAAAAAAAUAAAAGAAAGGAACUGAAAUUAAGGUCAGCCAAGCCUCCAGGUGUCUUUCUCCAUCUGUCACCUCUGCUUCUCCAUGUGGAUUUGUUAUACGCUUCUCUCUCCGUGGACUUCAUUCCUCUGCAACCUCUGCAGGUUCACAGUGAAAAUGGCUGCCUCACAGUUGUUAAACUUACAAGUUGCAGUUCCAGACACAUAAUGGGUAUGACCUAAUUCUUCCUGGGUCCCAAUUAAAAAUUUCCAGAAAAGAGAAUUUUACAGGGUGUCAAACACUAGCUCUAAAAUCUGUGGAUCCUGUGAUACAAAUAUAGCUGCCAGAGGUCCAUUCUUGUGUCCACCAAGAAAAAAAUUCACUGAAAAUUUAAUCAAACGGGCAUUUAAAAAAAUUUUGUUUUUGAGAGAGAGAGAGCUUGAGUGGAGGGGACACAGAGAGAGAAGGGCCAGAGGAUAAGAAGCAGGUUCUGUGCUGACAGCAGUGAGCUCAAACUCACAAACUGAGCCGUGAGAUCAUGGCUUGAGCCAAGGUCAAAUGCUCAACCAGCUGAGCCACCCAGGCACCCUGAAUCAGAUAGCCUUUUAGUUAGGCGGUUAGGAUUGCAACUCUGGAGACAAAGAUGUAGGUAGGAACCUGACUCUUUUUCUGAGGAGGACAGAGAGGGGCAGGGUUAUAAAGGCAAAAGUUCACAAGUGCAGUUCUCAUUUAGGCCCUCUAUGCAGAACACAGACGGAAAAUAUGUGACCUGGGAUUGACUGAGUUAACAUUCAAACGAGGGAUUGAAAUUUGUCGAAUCCUCUUGGCUCCUUUCGGAGUGAAGAAUGCUAACAAUUCAGGUGUCCUGGUGAGGAGGAGUUAAGUCCAGGCCGAGGGCUUGCAGCUGGCACAACAUUUAUGGUUCCUCUGAUGAGGGUGGGCAUAAAUUCUUCUUAGUUUAUGGCCUCCCGACCGUAUUUGUAAAGAAACUCUCUUAUGUAGGCUUGCUUCCUCCUUUUACGCCUGAGACAGGUGGAUCAAGGUGGCAGUUCCCAAAAGAGGGGAAUCCUUGUGAGCUGGGCAGGUAUCUACUUGCAAAUGACCAAUGUUAGAAUCAAACUAACAUUCACGUACAGGUCAAAGGACAAGGACACUCUGACUCCCAAAACCUGGGUUUCCAAGCAGAGUCAUUUUUUCUACAGCCCCAUCCAAUUUGUUAUUUAAAGUGAUGCAGAAAAAUUUGCCAGGUAGAGUGUAGGGAGAGCAGUCUCGAUGGAAGAAACAACAUUGUUAGAAAUAAGGAGGCAUUAACAUGGGCAUAAGUCAUAUGGACUGGCAGGCCCCUGUUGUGGCUGUUACAUGUCUUCCAUAUCAAGAUCCCAAAUGGGGGAAGAAAAGCAGGCAGAGUAGGUGGUAUUAGAUUGUGAAAAGCUUUGUAUGCCAGACCUUUGAAUUUUAUCUUGAAAACAGAGGGAGCCACUGAAGGUUCUAGAACACAUGAUGUCAUGUGUCAUCUACAGCUUAGAAAAAUAAACGCAGAGGGUGAAGCCUUAGCGUUGUUACUAAUGCUAAACUACUGAAAACAAUCAUGGUUGCUGAUGGAAAUUAUUUCUUGAAUUUAUUCUGGUUUUCAAUUUAAUGUAUAUGUAUUUGCAAGUAUCUCCAGGAUAAACCAGAGAAUUUGUUAAGCAAUCGCUGACCUCGGCCAGUAAAUAUGCAGUUUAUUCACAGAAUCCUCCUCCUCACCACCUGCAGAACAGAAGGCACAACACUGCACCUUCACCCUCAGCGUGGUUGGAGGACAUUAUAAAUAAAGAUCCCAUGGAGAAGGUUCAUUGUAUCCCCCAGGAAGUCAGCGUAUUGUGAAUUCCAGGCAGCCGAUUUAUGGACUAUGAGUAGGAGAUGCUCUGAAACAGGCAUCGUGGCAGCAGACCUACAGUUGAAGAAUCCUGCUCCUGAUGGAGUGGCAGAAGCACUUAACUCAAGCACUUGAUUCAAAGUACUUAACUCAAACGUACUACUCCUUUAUUCGUUCAUCAGAUAAUAGUUAGUCGUCUUAUUUCCUUGUUUGUGUUCCUAGCAGGGCAGGGUUGUGCUUGCCUUGUGAACCAUUGCAUCCCAGCACUCAGCAUGAUGCUGCAUAACAUAUUACCUGGAAUAUAAUAGCUUAAAAUAAUGCACAUUUAUUAUCUCACAGUUUCCACGGAUCAGGAGUCUUGGCGUGGCAUAGCUGGCUCCUCUGCCGAGGCUUUCACAAGGCUGCAACCACAGUGGCACCGCCAUGAGAUGGGGUCUCAUUUGAGGCUCCAGGUUCUCUUCGGACCUUCUAUGGUUGUUGGCAGAAUUCAUUUCCUUGCGGUUCUAGAACUCCUAAUGACCUGCUUCCAAGCCAGCAAGAGACUGUUGCUGACACUUUCAGGGCUUUCAUCUGAUUCAGAUCCACCCAGGAUAAUUUCCUUUUUGCUUAACUCAAAAUCAACAGAUUUGCAAAAUCCUUUCAACUUUGCCACAAUACACAACUUCAGCACAGGAGUAACAUUCAUCAUAGUCACAGAUCCUGCCCACCUUCAAAGGGAAAGAUUACACAAGGGUAUGGGUCAUUGGAGGUUAUCUUAGAAUUUUGCCCAAAUCUUGCACUCCAAAAUAUUGGUUGAGUGAGUGUGUGAAAGAAGGAAGGCAGGCAGGCAUCCUGUUUGUCUUCACAAUAACUCUGGGUGUAGGUAGUAUCACCUUUACCUUAUGGAAAAAGACAUUCAAUUCAGAGGCAGCAAAUGAUUUGCCUUCGUUCAAAGACGUGAAAUUGCAGGAUGAGGCUCCAGACUGAAGCCUGUCUGAGUCCUUACACUUUAUGCAGCAAAACACUCUCUGAAACCUCAGUCCUGCCACCCUGUCUCUGGCCAGAGCCCUGACACCAGCAGGGCCAACCUCUCUGCUUCUAUUCACCUGGCUAGAGCAGGCCAUGAGGUGGAGACAGAGGCCCACAGGGCCAGGACACUUUCCGUCCUUGCCAUAGAAGGAUUCCUUGGGCAUCCGUCAGCCCAACAGACUCCAGAGGCCAGUGUGGGCCACGUCAGGGGUUCUGUGCACUGAGGGAGAGGAAAGAUCAGUUUACUCCUACCCAGAGGUUUUGGCCCCAGUGCAUGCCCAGACCUUGGCACGUGUGGGUUCUUUUUGUUCCAGCAUUCUCCAGGGGCGGAGAAUGGGAAGCUGGUGAGGGAUGUUUUCUGCACUGCCUCCUCCCUCUCAGAGGCCUAGUAAGCUGUUCCCCUUGCUCUAGUGGGAACGGAGUGUGAACAGUGAUGUCCAGACCACAGAGGACAAGAAUCCGGGGAAUCCCUGGGAGAAGCUAUGGGGUUAGUUCAGACAGCAACGAUAUACAGUGUUUUAUACAAGUGAAGAAUUUGUGCAGUACGUGGCUGGCUCAGUUAAAAGAACAUGCGACCCUUGACCUUGGGGUUGUGAACUUGAGCCCCCUGUUGGGUGUUAGAGAUUAAACAAACGUAAAACUUGUUAGAAAACAGCAACAUAUUAGGCUUCUCUUUUCAUCUGCUUCCCAUUCACUCCUUUGCCCUCUCCCUCUGACUGUGCACCAGAUAUUCAAUACCUUCUCUGUGUCAGGGCCACCAUGGCUUAUUUUCUUCCCUGCCUCUUAGUUUUUCCUAGUCUACUUGUGAUCUUUAAUAAGCAGUACCCUUUCAUCUGUCUUUGUGUCGCCAGACUUCACAUUUUUACCACAUGGAAACAGCGUAUUAUAAAGUCUCUCCACUAUAGUAAAAUCUGCAUAAUGCAUAGGCAAUCACAUCCCGCCUUGUGGAACCUCACAGCACGCCAGGCAUAAAUCCAAGGUGGAAGAUGUUUGUUUGUAUAUUUUCAUAAUCCACUUUAGGCUUUAAUUACAAUGAGACAAUAAAAGAAAGAUAGGAAGGCAUU